rnacentral:rRNA from 1 species
ACCCAAUAGAUACCCGGGUAGUCCACGCUGUAAACCAUGUCAACUAGGCGUCGGUGGUGUUACACUAUCGGUGCCGAAAAGCCAAACGCGUUAAGUUGACCGCCUGGGGACUACGAGCGCAAGCUUAAAACUCAAAGGAAUUGACGGGGCCCGCACAAGCAGCGGAGCGUGUGGUUUAAUUCGAUGCAACACGAAGAACCUUACCUGGGCUUGACAUGAGCGUAGUAGUGAACCGAAACGGGGAACGGAGCCUUCGGGCGAGCGCCCACCAGGUGUUGCAUGGCUGUCGUCAGCUCGUGUCGUGAGAUGUUGGGUUAAGUCCCGCAACGAGCGCAACCCUGUUGCCAGUUACACGUGUCUGGCGAGACUGCCGGUAUCAAGCCGGAGGAAGGUGGGGACGACGUCAAGUCAGCAUGACCUUUACUGUCCAGGGCGUACACACACGCUACAAUGGUCGGUACAAUGAGUUGCCAAGCCGCGAGGCGGAGCUAAUCUCAGC